rnacentral:rRNA from 1 species
ACGGGGGGGGCAAGCGUUGUUCGGAAUUACUGGGCGUAAAGGGCUCGUAGGUGGCCAACUAAGUCAUACGUGAAAUCCCUCGGCUUAACCGGGGAACUGCGCCUGAUACUGGUUGGCUUGAGUUUGGGAGAGGGACGCGGAAUUCCAGGUGUAGCGGUGAAAUGCGUAGAGAUCCGGAGGAACACCGGUGGCGAAGGCGGCCCGCUGGGUCGACCCUGACACUGAGGCGCGAAAGCGUGGGGAGCGAACGGGA